GAUUCAGACCAACAUAGAAGAUUGGAGAGAUGUUAAUAAUCAUCAGAACUCAAGACAAGGCCUCCGAUUUGGUGCUGUAGCUGAAAGAGCAGCUUUGGGGGAGAGUAAGUGAUUGCCUUUCUCAUCCUACAGGCCUUAUUCAGAACAAAUAAACAGCUGAGGUGAGAAAUUAAACCAAGAAGACAAGGUGCCCUUCUCCUUGGAUGAGUCUCAACCCCCCCCUCUUCAGUAGUUCCUGAGGAGUUGGCUGUACACGGACGGAUUGUCUGUGAACCGAACAGAGACAUGAGUCGAAAUCCGGAGAUAAUGGAGUCAGUUUCUAGGAUUGAGGCAGCGCGUGCUGAGUGGCUGGUGACUCACACUCUUCGUCUCACCUCCUCUUCCUGUGGCUUAAAUAUGAUGACUUUCUCCAGAGAUGAAAUGUAACGCUCCAGUCUCUGAUGAAAAGGAAGGAUGUGGUACGUGUGUCAACACAAGUCUCAGAAAUCACCAGCAUUCCAACUUUCCAGGGUGCACAUAUUUCUGUAAGCUCUUGAAAAGUUCAUGGUGCUCACGUUGUAGGUGUGGUUCCCACCAGACACAGCAGCCUGUGAAGGCAUCGGAAGAUUCUACUCCUUCCACUUGGGGCCAGGUUCCUGAAAUCCUGAUAAAUCAAAGCUGGAGCCUUUUAGGAAUCCAGGUCAGUCAUCGGCCACCUGUUGCUCACAAAGAAGGAAAUGUAAUACAUGGCACAGCCAAGGUGAUUCAUCUGGGCAUGUGAAUUUUGGUGAACAUUUACUUCUACUUCCUGUUUCAUUCAGCCGUAGAAUUUCUGUUCUCAAUA